AAGGGCACGCAGGCGGUUCGUUUAAGUCGAAGGUGAAAUGCGUGGGCUCAACUCAGGAACUGCCUUCGAUACUGGCGAACUAGAGUGGCGUAGAGGAAAGCGGAACUCCUGGUGUAACGGUGGAAUGUGUAGAUAUCAGGAGGAACACCGGUGGCGAAGNCGGCUUUCUGGACGCACACUGACGCUCAGGUGCGAAAGCGUGGGUAGCAAACAGGAUUAGAUACCCUGGUAGUCCACGCCGUAAACGAUGGGUACUAGGUGUCGGGGGUAUCGAUCCCCUCGGUGCCGAAGUCAACGCAUUAAGUACCCCGCCUGGGGAGUAUGGUCGCAAGGCUGAAACUCAAAGGAAUUGACGGGUCCCCGCACAAGCGGUGGAGCAUGUGGUUUAAUUCGACGCAACGCGAAGAACCUUACCUGGGCUUGACAUGCUUGGGACAGCGCUGGAAGCAGCGUCUCUCCUUCGGGAGUCCUUGCACAGGUGCUGCAUGGCUGUCGUCAGCUCGUGUCGUGAGAUGUCGGGUUAAGUCCCUCAACGAGCGCAACCCUCGUUACUAGUUGCCAUCAGUUCGGCUGGGCACUCUAGUGAGACUGCCGGUGACAAACCGGAGGAAGGUGAGGAUGAUGUCAAGUCAUCAUGGCCCUUACGCCCAGGGCUACACACGUGCUACAAUGGUCGGCACAAAGGGCAGCCAAACCGCGAGGUGGAGCUAAUCCCAUAAAGCCGGCCCCAGUACGGAUUGGAGUCUGCAACUCGACUCCAUGAAGGCGGAAUCGCUAGUAAUCGCGGAUCAGCAUGCCGCGGUGAAUAUGUUCACCGGGGAUUGUACACACCGCCCGUCAUAUCACCCGAGCCGGGGAUACCCGAAGUCCGUGACCCAACCAUUUGGAGGGAGCGGCCGAA
rnacentral:rRNA from 1 species